GGAACGGGAGAUUCUCAUCAUGGAUGCAGCCGACAAACCUGCAGCAACUGUGUGAUGCUGUCAUGUUAAUAUGGAGAAAACCUCUGAGGAAGGUUUCCACCACCUGCUUCCAUCUAUCACACCAGGAAUGAAGGUGGUUCUGAGGG